rnacentral:rRNA from 1 species
AAUGAACGUUGGCGGCGUGGAUUAGGCAUGCAAGUCGUGCGGAAAGGCUCCUUCGGGAGUACUCGAGCGGCGAAAGGGAGAGUAACGCGUGGAUAUCUACCCCCUGGACUGGGAUAGCGGCGGGAAACUGCCGGUAAUACCAGAUAAUGUCUGCGGACCAAAGGUGUGAUUCCGCCGGGGGAUGAGUCCGCGUCCUAUUAGCUAGUUGGUGGGGUAAUGGCCCACCAAGGCAAAGGUGGGUACCGGGUGUGAGAGCAUGGCCCGGCUCACUGGGACUGAGACCCUGCCCAGACACCUACAGGUGGCUGCGGUCGAGAAUCUUCGGCAAUGGGCGCAAGCCUGACCGAGCGACGCCGCGUGCGGGAUGAAGGCCUUCGGGUUGUAAACCGCUGUCAGAGGGGAGGAAAUGCAUGAGGGUUCUCUCUCAUGUUUGACCUAUCCUCAGAGGAAGUACGGGCUAAGUUCGUGCCAGCCGCCGCCGUAACAC